GCUACAGAAAUACAGUUGGUUAACCAGAGUCAUUCUAAUACGAAGCCAUAAAAUCUUGUCUAAGACAUUUUUGGUAAUGAUUUUUUGGUAGAGUUUUCUACUUUUCGGGGGUACCCUUUGCCUUUGCUGUAAUCAUGAUAAGUUUAAACAUUCAUUGUUUUGUUGUAAGGUAUCCAAAUGUGACGUCAAAUUGGUCUGUAAUCAUGAUUAGUUUAAACAUUCAUUGUUUUGUUGUAAGGUAUCCAAAUGUGACGUCAAACUGGUCUUGUUUCUUAGUUUUAUAUCCCGGUUGAAAGGGGGAAAAUUCAUUAAUUU
rnacentral:lncRNA from 1 species